ACUGCUCAGUAACACGUGGAUAACAUGCCCUAAGGUGGGGGAUAAUCUCGGGAAACUGAGGAUAAUACCCCAUAGGUCUGAUUUGCUGGAAUGCUUUCAGGCCGAAAACUCCGGUGCCUUAGGAUUGGUCUGCGGUCUAUCAGGCAGUAGUGGGUGUAACGGACCCACUAGCCCGUGACGGAUAUGGGCCUUGAGAGAGGGAGCCCAGAGAUGGACUCUGAGACAUGAGUCCAGGCCCUACGGGGCGCAGCAGUCGCGAAAACUUCGCGAUGGGGGCAACCCCGACGAGGGAAUUCCAAGUGCCAGCACUUUGUGUUGGCUGUUCUCCUGUCUAAAAAACAGGAGGAGUAAGGGGCGGGUAAGACGGGUGCCAGCCGCCGCGGUAAUACCCGCGCCCCUAGUGGUGGUCGAUAUUAUUGAGCCUAAAACGUCCGUAGCCGGUCUUUUAAAUCCUUGGGUAAAUCGGGCAGCUUAACUGUCCGAAGUCCGGGGAGACUGGAAGACUUGGGACCGGGAGAGGUCAGAGGUACUUCUGGGGUAGGGGUAAAAUCCUGUAAUCCUGGAAGGACCACCGGUGGCGAAGGCGUCUGACUAGAACGGAUCCGACGGUGAGGGACGAAGCCCUGGGGCGCAAACGGGAUUAGAUACCCCGGUAGUCCAGGGUGUAAACGCUGCGGGCUUGGUGUUGGGGGUCCUUAGUGGGCGCCCAGUGCCGGAGAGAAGUUGUUAAGCCUGCUGCUUGGGGAGUAUGUCCGCAAGGAUGAAACUUAAAGGAAUUGGCGGGGGAGCAC
rnacentral:rRNA from 1 species